AACGAACGCUGGCGGCAGGCUUAACACAUGCAAGUCGAACGCAUCGCAAGAUGAGUGGCAGACGGGUGAGUAACGCGUGGGAACAUACCCUUUCCUACGGAAUAGCUCUGGGAAACUGGAAUUAAUACCGUAUACGCCCUACGGGGGAAAGAUUUAUCGGGGAAGGAUUGGCCCGCGUUGGAUUAGCUAGUUGGUGGGGUAAAGGCCUACCAAGGCGACGAUCCAUAGCUGGUCUGAGAGGAUGAUCAGCCACAUUGGGACUGAGACACGGCCCAAACUCCUACGGGAGGCAGCAGUGGGGAAUAUUGGACAAUGGGCGCAAGCCUGAUCCAGCCAUGCCGCGUGAGUGAUGAAGGCCUUAGGGUUGUAAAGCUCUUUCACCGAUGAAGAUAAUGACGGUAGUCGGAGAAGAAGCCCCGGCUAACUUCGUGUCAGCCGCCGCCGUAAAAC
rnacentral:rRNA from 1 species